AUUGAACGCUGGCGGCAGGCCUAACACAUGCAAGUCGAGCGGAUGAAGGGAGCUUGCUCCUGGAUUCAGCGGCGGACGGGUGAGUAAUGCCUAGGAAUCUGCCUGGUAGUGGGGGAUAACGUCCGGAAACGGGCGCUAAUACCGCAUACGUCCUGAGGGAGAAAGUGGGGGAUCUUCGGACCUCACGCUAUCAGAUGAGCCUAGGUCGGAUUAGCUAGUUGGUGGGGUAAAGGCCUACCAAGGCGACGAUCCGUAACUGGUCUGAGAGGAUGAUCAGUCACACUGGAACUGAGGCACGGUCCAGACUCCUACGGGAGGCAGCAGUGGGGAAUAUUGGACAAUGGGCGAAAGCCUGAUCCAGCCAUGCCGCGUGUGUGAAGAAGGUCUUCGGAUUGUAAAGCACUUUAAGUUGGGAGGAAGGGCAGUAAGUUAAUACCUUGCUGUUUUGACGUUAUCAACAGAAUAAGCACCGGCUAACUUCGUG
rnacentral:rRNA from 1 species